UAACAUUUAUUUUUAUUUUUCUACAUCAUUAGUCAUUACUAUAAGAACUCUUCUUAAAAUUGGAAACAAAUGGUAAACAGUUCCAAUGUUUGAUCUCUGAAAUUAACAAAAUUCAAAAUGAUUUUGAAGUUAUCCAUUCAAUUAAAUGUACAACCACAUGCUUGUAAUGGCAUAGCUUAAUUCAAUCAAGCAGUGAAAUAAUUUCUUGUGUGCCAAGAAAUCCAUCUAUGAUGAUAUUAUUAUAAUUUAUAACACUGCUUCAACUUGUACUAAAAUAUUAUUCAUGUUUGUGACGUUUUGACAGCUUCUCUUGGCAAACCCGGGACCAAUUGUAAUCGAGAAACUGCAUGCAUCGAAAUUAUCAGACUUAAUCGGGGAAGAUAAAAUAUUUCUAACUGUAGGUGAUGCUGUUGCAACUUUUGGUCCAAAGGGGUUAGAUUUAUGAAGAACACAACAUAAUAACCAUUCCAACUGAAGUGUGUAUUUAAAUAAAAUAUAAAGAAAAGGGUGUGUGAAACUAUUAAGGGAGCUCUUAGGAACAAUGAAGGGGCACGUUGAUUUGUUUUCUUUAGUUUUGUUUAUUCUCAUUGAUUUCUAGUUCCAGUUGAUGUGAUGUAUAGUCAUAAGGAAAGAAAUACAUGUUUUUUAUGUUGAUUAUACUACUAUGGUCUUGGAUAUAAGCAAAAAAAACUUGUAAAAGAAUAUAGCUGAUAUAUUUGGUCUAAAUAUUGAACUAAAUACAUCAACUUUGUUUAAUCAAUUUUUGCUUAUAUUUAAGACUGGAGAAAGUAAUAUUAUAAUUUAUACCUCUUGUUUAUCUUAUAGUGUGGAAUCUAAUGAUAAUGAUAAUAUUCUUUUGUGAAUUAUAUAUACUCAAUGAUUGGAGGCAAAACCAAUUAAAAAUGAAAGAAUAAUAAGAGAGAAUUGACUUCAUGAAUUGAUUGAGUUAACAAGCAUAUAUUAUAAAUAAACAAUGUUUCAGAGUUAAGGUUUAUUAUAUAGUUGAUGUCAUGGCCUACACAUGCAACUAAAUUAACAGAGUGAUAUACUAUACAUACAAUGACCAACAUGAUGAACUUGGACGAUUUGAAAACUAAAUUCAUACAUUCAUAUAUGAAUCACAUAGAUAAUUACUUCAUUCAAGAAUCAGUCAGAUAAAAUAUUAUAUCUAACAUAAAAGGGUAUGCAAUCCACCACCUCACAAUACCCGCUGUAGAUAAUUGUAAAAAUAGGUUUUUAAAACAGAAUGAUUUACUUACCCAAAUAAAAUCGUAGUCCAAAAAAACAAUAGGAGAAAAAGUGAAAAUAUAGUUUUAGUAGUAAAAAAGAUAGACUGGAGCACAAUUAACAGAUUCAACCCUAACUCAUUCCACCACAAGAAAUUAAAAUAUGUGAUUUGCUGCGACAACAUUUGUAGCUAAUUUAUAGCAGAGAAGUUAGCUAUGGAUAUGCUACAGAAUAUCUAUGAAAUGGUUGUAACAUUUCCGUAGCAACAUAACUACAGCUUAACUUAGCAAUUCGUUGCAAAUCCAUGGCUAAACAGAAAACCAAAAAUUCAUAGCAAAAGCACAACUAAACUGUCCAUAGCAAUUUCAAUGCAAAUCCACAACUAAACUUUCUAUGUAUAUUUUUUUUUGGCUAAAAUAUGGUUUUAGUCCUUGCAAAUAUGCCUCGUUUUGAUUUUAGUCCCUGUAAAAAAAAAAUUUGUUUUUGGUCCUUGCAAAAUUUUUUGUUUUUGAAAAUAGUCCCUUUUGCAGGGACCUUUUUUAAAAACAAAAUAUUUUGCAGGGACCAAAAACUAAAAAAUUGGUUCAGUUAUAAUGUACCACGUAUGCAAAUCAUCACAAAAGUGGGGUUGUGGACUAUUUUCAAAAACAAAAAAUUUUGCAGGGACCAAAAACAAAAAAAAAGUUCUGCAGGGACUAAAACCAAAACGAGGCAUAUUUGCAAGGAAUAAAACCAUAUUUUAGUUUUUUUUUAAUAAAUUAAUAUAUAUAAAGCACUAUCCAUCAAUUAAUAAGCCACUUUAAUUGAACACACCACAGGAAAUAAAAAACAAGUAUUGCAUAAUAAGUAUGAUCAUACAAUAUUAAUCAAAUAUGAAGUUAUACAAAAGAUUCUUCAUAUUAUAACAAGAGUUGAGCUUAUAUACAUGAGAUUAGUCAUAUUAAAACCACAAUCCAAUUUGUCAAGAACAACAAUUAUGUUGGAAAAAUAAAGGACAUAUCAUUGUUUUAGUUUAUCUAAAAGAGUGCCACGCUUGCCACUACAAAAAAUACAGAGAAUAUCAAAGUAUUUUGGUAGCUAAUCCUAUAUAAAUAGAGAUAAUUCAUUAAUAAAAAACGAAAAAAACAAAAUAAAAAACCUUACUGCUCAUUCUCUAUAUUUAUAGUGACACAUUCAGCUCCCUACUUUCACAUGCAUCUCUACCCACUCAAUCACACAUACUGAUAUAUGUGAUAAGUCGAGACAUAAUACUUGGAGGUUGGACUGACGAUAUAUUCUGCUAUUUUCACGCAUCUAGAUUCUAACAACAUUGCACUGAUCUAUUUUUUUCCCUAUUUGAUUAAUCCCGAAUAUGGAAUCUAUUCGAUUAUUUGUUCUUUUAAAAGUUUUUAAAUUUUAAUUUUUAUGAAAAAACUGUGUUAGUUGGUGAGGUAGUGUUGGUCUGUUUCUAUGUUUAUGAAGGAGAGGAUCCAUAUUGGCAGAUGUCUUUGUUGCUUAUUUGAAAGUGAAAGGAUAUGAUGUGG
rnacentral:lncRNA from 1 species